rnacentral:rRNA from 1 species
GAUCCUGGCUCAGGACGAACGCUGGCGGCGUGCUUAACACAUGCAAGUCGAACGAUGAUGCCCAGCUUGCUGGGCGGAUUAGUGGCGAACGGGUGAGUAAUACGUGAGUAACCUGCCCUUGACUCUGGGAUAAGCCUGGGAAACUGGGUCUAAUACUGGAUACUACUUCCCAUCGCAUGGUGGGUGGUGGAAAGGGUUUUACUGGUUUUGGAUGGGCUCACGGCCUAUCAGCUUGUUGGUGGGGUAA